rnacentral:tRNA from 5 species
AAGUGUUUAGCUCACUCGGUAGAGCAUCAGAAUUUCAUUCUGACGGUAGCGGGUUCGAUUCCCGCAACACAAG